rnacentral:ncRNA from 1 species
AAUAAAAAGAGAAGACUCUUUGGAGCUUCAAUUUAUUGGUACAAAUGAGCUUAAAAACAUAACACAAGUCUUAAUAUUUUGUCUAAUGAAAGAAAAAAUUUGAUUGGGGUGACCUUGGAGGAGACCACAAGCUCCAAAAUGACUUUAACUAAGACCACAGUAGUCAAAGUAAUGUAUCAUAUAUUGAUACAAAUAGUUUGAUCAACUGAACAAGUUACCCUAGGGAUAACAACACAAUCCUAUUCUAGAGUCCAUAUAGGCAAUAGGAUUUAUCAUCUUGAUGUUAGAUGGGGGCAUCCUAAUGGUGUAACUGCUAUUAAUGGUUCAUUUGUUUGAUUAAAGUCCUAUAUAAUCUGAGCUUAGACCAGAGUAAUACAGGUUGGUUUCUAUCUAUU